rnacentral:rRNA from 1 species
GAUGAACGCUGGCGGCGUGCCUAAUACAUGCAAGUCGAGCGAACGGACGAGGAGCUUGCUCCUCUGACGUUAGCGGCGGACGGGUGAGUAACACGUGGAUAACCUACCUAUAAGACUGGGAUAACUUCGGGAAACCGGAGCUAAUACCGGAUAAUAUAUUGAACCGCAUGGUUCAAUAGUGAAAGACGGUUUUGCUGUCACUUAUAGAUGGAUCCGCGCCGCAUUAGCUAGUUGGUAAGGUAACGGCUUACCAAGGCAACGAUGCGUAGCCGACCUGAGAGGGUGAUCGGCCACACUGGAACUGAGACACGGUCCAGACUCCUACGGGAGGCAGCAGUAGGGAAUCUGCCGCAAUGGGCGAAAGCCUGACGGAGCAACGCCGCGUGAGUGAUGAAGGUCUUCGGAUCGUAAAACUCUGUUAUUAGGGAAGAACAAAUGUGUAAGUAACUAUGCACGUCUUGACGGUACCUAAUCAGAAAGCCACGGCUAACUACGUG